UAUAUUGUUCAGCUUUACAAAAACAUGACAAGUGUCACAAUAGAGAUGGCAAUUUUGUAACUUUGAGCCACUUUCUAAUGAUUUGAAUCUAUUUUUCUGCAACAUUUCAAAAUCUGCUGUCUUGUUAUUGCAACAUCUGGAGUCAGAAUUAUAUGCUAUUAUAAAUUAGUUGAAGUGAAAUUUGAGGGAUGUAUCCUAAGUUGUAAAUGCUAAGCCUUUGAAUGAGUUGGGAGCAAAUUGAUCUGAGGUGUUGAAAUUGCCAUCUCUGCUUUGGUAAUGUGAUUUGUUUUCAUUAAUUUAUUUUGGAUUGCAUUGAUACUCGUCAUUGUGUAUGUUUCUUUGUGUAACAGAGGGACAUGGACAAUGCCCAUGUGAUAGCUUUGCAUUACGGUGCAAUAAUGGUUCUAUGUUUAAAAAUAUUCCAAUGGUUAAGUAUCAAACUCAGACUUGGUAUUUUUGAGUUUAAAGGACCAUGUCAAUCAUUUUGGUGUGCAAUAAGCCUUGCGUUACUAAAUAUUCUGAGGCCCAAAACUAAGAAGAAAUGAAAGGUACACUUGCAUUCUUUUACUGUCCAUUGGUUUCAUUACAUUCUGAUAAAACUGAAAUCAGCGUGGUCAUAUUUAAGCAGUUAUUAGAGGUGUAUCCAACAUCGUAAACAAGCAUAACUGUACUGUGGAUAUUUUAGCUGUUGUUUCCACUGGAAAGUGCGAAAUGAUGAGCCAUAAUGAACUUCAAAGGUAUACAGUGUGUUAAAGUUUCAUCUUCCUAAUAUAGUAACAAUUCAGUUAAAUGUGAAACUUGUUAAACUUUUACAGCAGCACUACUGAGGCACUUCACAGCAUGGUGCGCCGCAUUAAACACUGCAGAUAAUUUCUCAAGUACAUAACACUACAAAAUGAAUAUUAAUUUACCCAUCAGAUGGAUUUUAGUUAUUUAGCUGGCAAGUGCUCUUAUGAUCGCAAACCAGUGACUUAUGACCUGCCAGUUUAUGACAGUUGUUUUAAGAUGGUAAGAGUGUUAUGAUGCUAUUGCACUGUUAUAGAAUGGCUAAAGUCACUGAGCAAAACGUGCACACAGUGGCUAAAUAAUGUUAAUGAACCAGCUUGGUCCAAUGGCUAAACACUAAACAAACCUCUAAAAUUGCUUGCUAUGACUUGGCUGUUGCACAUCCAUUCUAAAUAUGAGCAACUUGAUAAUUAAUGGCAUAUCAGAAUGAAAUGAAGAUAAUGGCGUCAAAGACAGUGUUUUAGCUUCUCCUUUUCAGUUCUGAGGUGAAGAAAAUGCUUCUGUUUACUUCUGUGAUACUUGCAUAUUUUGGCCACAACCAUUGAAAUGAGAAGUAUGGCUUUAUAAGAUUUCUGUUGGACGGCAAGUAAUGAAUAUUUUAUAAUUGAUAAAUCCAACUACAAUUUUGUUUCAGUUAAUCUAACAAUCAGUUGUUGAUUAGUCCACUGAUUAUUUUCUGAUUAGCCAGUUAUCCAUUUUGUCAGUUUACUCAUAACUAUAAAUUCUACCAGUAACUUGCAGUCUUGCAUUCAGAUAGUCUAUCAUAAAGUAUUUAUUUGGCAACUU